rnacentral:rRNA from 1 species
GUGUUCAAGCUCGACUUCGCCAAGGCCUUCGACUCCAUUGCCUGGCCUAGUCUUCGCCGGAUCAUGGAGGUGAGGGGGUUCCCCGCUGUGUGGUGUGACUGGAUGGACCUCAUCCUCUCGUCCUCCACUGCGGCGGUCCUCCUUAACGGGGUGCUCGGGCGCUGGUUCGCCGUCCGCAAGGGGCUGCGCCAGGGCGACCCCAUAUCCCCG